rnacentral:lncRNA from 1 species
UUGUUUUAUAAUCUUAAUUUUUCCUUGGCUAAAAUUAAGAUCUUUCAAACCCAAAUCUUCAUCUAUCUAAAGACAUUUUUGUCCAUCUCCACCUUACUCUAAAUAUGUUAUCCUUUCUGCUACUACCACUGAUUUUCAGCUUAUAGAGGAAAGACUUCUACAUUAGCCUUAUAUCCUUUUAUUAUUUUCAAUAUUUCCAUGAAUAAGCAAAAGAAUUAAGGAACAUAAUGAGAAAUUUUAAGUAAAGAGCAAGGACAUGGACUUGCAGCUCUUGAAAGGUUGAUUUCAUUACAUUCAUCCACUAAUCAAGAACAUAAAUAGUUAAAAUGCACUACAACCUCUUAUGCAUCACGCUCUAUCUAGGUCCAUUCAAUUCCAAGCAACUUCAAAUCUCAGCUAGAAUGAAGCAACAACAGAGUUCUGAACCUAAAUAAAGAGAGCAAGGUAAACCUUGUGUGUUAAGUUAGUGUUGCUUAACUCAAACACUCUUUUGCAAGUUGGUCCAAUAGCUUGCCUUUAUCAAAUGUGACUUCCUCUCUUUCCUCAAAAUUUAUUGUGUGAAUCAUUAUAUAUUUUGUUUACUCUCGAACUUUCUUCAUAUAUGAUGUGCCUAUAUUUACGUAACAACCAAGAAAUAAGAAAAAGAAUAUAAUAAAUACACAAAAUUGGAAGGUUUAAAACAUACCACCUGUAGCAGAAUCAACAUCCACAGCUUGUCUCUAACACGGUCAUCCUUGCCAACUUCUUCCUGUGCAGAAAUUGCCGGAAUGAUAUGUGAAAAUGUAGAAACACUAUGUAGAAUUGCAAAUAUUGCCAAAACACUAUGCAGAAAUGCAGAAAAAUUGUGUAGAAAUGAAAAAAAUAGCAAAAUGUUGAAAAAAUGCAAAAAAUACAGGAAAACCUGUACAGAAAUGCAAAAUAUAUAGUUUAGAAAUGCAAAAAUUUCUAAAAUGUAGAGAGAAAAUCAAGAAAUAAUAUGCAGAAAAUAUACUGUUCAAAAAAGCAGAAAUAAUGUGUAGAAAUGCCGAAAUACUAUGCAGAAAAUGUAAAAACACUAUGCAUAUUCACAAAAACAAUGAGCAGAAUCGCAGAAAUUGCCGGAACACUUCGCAAAAAUACAGAGAAUGCAGAAAAAUUGUGCAAAAAUGCAAUAACGCUGUGCAAAAUACAAAAACUACAAUUUAUGAGUUGACAUAUAGCAUAACAAUUAAAAGCAUAUAACGCAACUAGUUUUCAAGGAAGAAUAUCCCGAACUAACCUUCGCAAAGGAUAUAAAAUUGUAGGCCAGUUUGCAUGUUAUGAAAUCUUAGGUCACUUUGCACGUCAUAAAAUGUUAUGCCACUUCUCCGAACUAAGAUUAUUAUGCUAACACUUCUUUUUUUAAUUUCCUAAUUAACAACAACAACUACCCAGCAUAAUCCAACAAUGGGGGCUUAAUUUCAUAAUUGUAAAAAUAAUUUAAUCUUCAUAACAAAAGUUAAACCAGGAGCUGAAUUUAUUAGACUACCGGCGACCAACAGAACGUUAUGUGCUUCUUUGGAUCAUUAAAAACCUAAAAUAUGGCAGAGACUUGACUAAAUUAUGAUGAAUCAGAUUUUGCAACCCUACAACGCUGACCAAUGAUUGCUAAAAAGGCUAAACUGCCAGGCUAGAACUGUUAACUUACCUAUAAUAGCCAAGACACGAUUUAUAAAUAAAUGCUAGUGUAAGUACAUACCUGAAUCCGCUAUAAAAGAUAUUUUUUUUCCAAUAAAGAUGAUCUUAUCAAAAUGAGAUUUGAGCAUAUCCUCUUCCAUUGGCCCCUGCAAAUGCUAAAACAGCUGUCUAGCACUUCUCUGCAUGUGUUGAUUCAAACUGAUUUAGGAAAAGCUUUGAGCUCAAGGGAACAACAGAAAACCCCAUCCUAUGAUGCCAUUGAUGUGAAUUAAAAAAAUACCCAUGGAAUAAUCGGUUGAUUUAACACUUGAAAACCCUAAUACAAAGAACAAUCAAAGACACAAAGCCUAAUGAAGAGGACUUUUGGAAAAUCAAUCGAAGAUCACUAUCAACAAACAAUUCCAACAAACAAAUAGUACAAUUUUCAUAUUUUGGCAGUUUUGUUGAGUAUCAAUAACUCCAUUUAAUUUUCAAUAGAAACUAAUCAAAUAAGUUCUUAAUUAGGCUUAGACUUGAAGUCCAAUUCAAGAAAUAACGACACAUCAACAAAAUAUCCAGAAGAAUCAAAGGGGUUUAAGCAGUAGAUAAAUAUGUAAAGAAGUAAAAUAAUUUUAAUUAAGAAAUCAUACCUUUUGAAUGCUGAAAUUUCUCUUUCUUAGAUGUAGGUAUUGGAUCAAUGGAGAAGAAAAUUCCAGUCGGUGCUGGAUUUGGUAGCAGUGGAACCAGUGGCGUGGUGAUGGCCCAGAUGGAGAUUUAUGGGCCAAUACUAAAUAGAGGGGUAGAAUGAAAAUUUGAGAAAGUAUUAAUUUCUUUUGCCUUUGAAAGUAGGGAAAACUUUCACUCAAUCAAAUAAUGGAGGGAAUUUUUGGAUGAAUUUUUUAUUUUUAUUUUAGAGCACACUUGUUAA